ACGGAUUAAGGCCACAUGUGAAAGCCAACUGCAAGAGAUACAGCUAGAUUCCCCCAAAGUUCAGCUGCAAAGACUACUGUUUUAGACUCCUCAGUCUCCUUGACCUUCAUCCCAGUCUGAUCUAUCUUGCAGUAGACUCUCAGCUCAAUCCUGCACUAAUUCUCCUCCCAAAGCACUCAAUGGGUCAAUCUUCAAAUUUCAGAAGCAACUCAGGAUAUCAAAAAACAAAUCCAAAUUCUUUAUUCUGGCAUUAAAAUCCGUCAUUAAUUUCCUUCAGUCUUCUUUUCUACUCUUCUCUCUGUUACAAAGUCUAUACUAUUUAUCUCCACUAUCUCCUGAGAUCAUCAGGCUCAGCCCUUGGCUCAACUUUGUUCUCUCUCCCUAGAAUAUUCUUCUGUCUCCUUUUAUUUAUCUCUACCUUCCUUCAAGAUCUAGGUCAAAUCUCUAUCCUCCAUGAAGCCUUCCCCAGCCACAUCAAUCAUGGUCCCUUCCUGACUGCCCAGAGCUCUGACUGUCUGCACUACAUCCUCUAAAAUCAUAGCAAAGUACCAGGCACAACGUCAAGGAAAUAAGAUUCAGGACCUUCUCCUUGAGAUCAAAGGAAUCCUCAGGCUAUCCCUCAUCUCACUCACAGUUAAUCCCUAAGCCUGGAAUGAGGCAGCUAGGUGGCAGUGGAGAUAGCAUUUAUCCUGGAAUCAUGAAGAGGAUACUGGCAUGUCAGAGAACUUUUUCUAUCUAUUCUUCAUUGACAAAAGGGCCUGACGCUCUGUUUGCAGCAGAUUUGAGGAGCCUCAUUGGAUCAUAAGCUCAAGUCAACCAUCAUAAAUCUCAGGGCCUGUGUCUACAUGAGGCCAAAAAGCACUUUAUUUUUGGAGUACUUAUUAAGCUGCUUAGAAGUCAUUUCAACCUGCUAUUCCAGCUUCGUUUAACUGGUGAUCAAACAGGGCAGUUUUUUUUUGUUUGUUUGUUUGUUUUUUGGUGGGAAGGAAGAGGAGAGGAGAGGAGAUAAUGCUCUAAUCUUGAAUAGAUUUUUAAAAGUGCAGAAGACUUGCUGGCCAUUGUAGAAAUAGAACUGGGGGAAUGGUGGGUAAUUUUUACUAAUGUCAAAUGGGCAGUUUUCUGUGGAAACCUACAAAAGGGAAACAAAAACAGGCCUGAAUGAAAAUAGAUAAACUAAAACUUUCCUAGGAAUACAAGAAAAGGAAUUCACUUCAUUUAAAAAAAUAUUUUGAAUUUUUGACAGAUAUCAAGAGAGGAUAGUAACAGCCCAAUUCAUUUGUGAAAGGAGGCUAAGUGGCACAAUAGAUGGGACUUGGAGUUAAGACUCUUGAGUUUGAAUGUUUUUCCAGUCAGUUAAUAAACUUUGUG
rnacentral:lncRNA from 1 species